rnacentral:rRNA from 1 species
UGGAACAGGACGUCACAGAGGGUGAGAAUCCCGUGCUUGGCUGGCUGUCCCCGUCCAUGUGAGGUGUCUUCGACGAGUCGAGUUGUUUGGGAAUGCAGCUCAAAAUGGGUGGUAAAUUUCAUCUAAAGCUAAAUAUUGGUGGGAGACCGAUAGCGCACAAGUAGAGUGAUCGAAAGAUGAAAAGCACUUUGAAAAUAGAGUUAAAAAGUACGUGAAAUUGUUGAAAGGGAAGCGCUUGAGACCAGACUUCGGUAAGGGGUGAUCAGCCGUCCUUUUGGGCGGUGCACUUGCCCCCCUCCGGGCCAGCAUCGGUUGAGGCGGCGGGAUAAAGGUCCCGGGAAUGUGGCUCCUUCACGGGAGUGUUAUAGCCCGGGUGAAUGCCGCCAGCUUCGACCGAGGACCGCACCCGCAAGGGUUAGGAUGCUUGGCAUAAUGGUCUUCAGCGAC